rnacentral:tRNA from 1 species
GCCUCCUUAGCUCAGUUGGUCAGAGCGGCUGAUUCGUAAUCAGCAGGUCGCGGGUUCAACUCCCGUGGGAGGC